ensembl:lncRNA
ACACACACACACACACACACAUUAACCGAUCUCUAAAGGUUCUCUCAUACUGCUACUACAUUGGUGAGGUACUUUGUUUCUGUAUUUCUAUGAUGUGGUGCAGCAUACUUUGCAUACCGUGUAUACAGUACAUGUAAACACACAUACGUGUGCCAGUAUUUUGUCCCCUCUGAGCCUCCGUAGCUUGACGUCCUCCCACAGCAGUGAACAAACAUCAGGCUGUCGGACGUGUCCUCUCUCUUUCAGACGUGUCCUCUCUCUCUCAGAUGAGUCCCUCUCUCUUUCAGACGUGUCCUCUGUCUGUCGGACGUGUCCUCUCUCUUUCAGACGUGUCC